CUCCGAUGUCUGGGGACUUGCAUCCACUACUUCUUAUUCUAGCCAUCGCUAUUUUGUCACCUUUGUAGAUGUCUAGAGCUACAUGGAUUUAUACGUGAAAUGUUCAAAAAGAAUGAAGUCAUGUGUUGAAGGCGGUCACACACAAUUUUAUAAGAAUGUUUUGAUGGUAGCAACUGCCACACUUUCUUAUCUGAUAAUGGCAUCAACCAUCACCUGUGCUUAUUUAGUUGAGGAAUGGUUGGUGGCUGAAAGGAAGAACAGGCAUAUCUUAGAGGUUGCUAGUGCUCUUUUGUUUCGAUAGAGAUGAAUGUUCCCAAGUCCUAUUGGUCUGAUGCUGUUAUGAAUUACAGUCCUAUUGAUAACAUAUGCAGUCACUCCUAUUUUAGACCCUUAGGUACGUUUUUUACGAUGUCCAACCUGCAGUUGGAUGCAUUUUUUUUGUUCCCUCUCGCGGGAGAAGCUUGUUCAUUAGGCACACAAGUGCGUCUUCUUUUGAAUCCUUAUUCUCAAAAAAGAAAAAAAGGAGACCUGUGACUAAGAAGAUGCAUAUUUCAAGGCAUGUCACAUUCGAAGAAAGCUAUCCAUCUUUUUGUGCCUUCUUCUUC
rnacentral:lncRNA from 1 species